rnacentral:lncRNA from 1 species
CAUGAACUAGAUCCUUGUGAUUUUAUAUUUUAUGCAUGCAUGAUUCAGAUUAAAAGUAUUUUAAUCUUGUAUUCCACUGUGGUGUUUCGAAAAUAAAGUUUUGAAACACACAUGCAUGCUCCAAAUCUUGAAUUUCAAUAUCAAUCCCAUCUUAACUCACGCACCGACUUGAUAAGUAUUUAAUUGUACCCAGAAAUCUUCUGUUACUGAAUUAUAAAUUCAGAUAGUCUAGUAUCAAAGUACAGUGAGUUGCUUGCAAGUCUCCGUAGUGAUCUUAGGUCGGAGGGACAUUUAUACACAUAUCCUUCGUGAGCUACUCUUGACAGCAGAGUACUCCGUAGUUGGUCACGUUCAAUGACGAUGUACUCUUACAUCUCACCUGCAUGCCAUACUAAUAUCUCCACACCAUUUGAUUACGAGGAUAAUCAAUGCAUAUGGCACACAAUGACCUAUACUUGAUAUUAGUAUUUAUUAGAGUUUCAUGAUUUCAUGUAUGCAAAAAUUUUUAAAAUAAGUAUGCAGCAGAAUUUAAAAAAUUUUAGAUUAAAUCUAAUUUAAUCUAAGCAUGCAUAAGAUCAAAUUUUAAAACCAUAAAUAGGAUUAACAUAUGUGAGAUAGGAUUCAUAUACAGAAAUCAAAUAGAAAAAAAUAAAUAGGCAUCAUACCUUGGCAUGGAUUAAACUUCACCAUGAACUGAUGAUCAUGGAGGUCUUCUGAAGGUCCCUUGAAGCCGUGCAAGUGUCCAACCUCUAUGGAUAUUCACACGAGACUUUGAUCUGAUCAUAAGUUUAUUAAUCUCACCGGGGUAUUAGCUCCCUUGCAGAGAUUAUAUUUUGAUGGUUGAAAAUCUUCUUUUCUCUCUAGACACUCUUAGAGAAGAAGAAGAAAUAGGAGGAUGAUGAUCUCUAUGCUAGAGAUCAUGAGAAGAACCCUUUCUUCUCUUUCUUCCUAAAAUUCAUGCACCAAAUCUCUAGCAUAGAGAUCAUGAGAAGAACCCUUUCUUCUCUUUUCUUCCUAAAAUCCAUGCACCAAAUCUCUAUGCUAGAGAUGUAAGAAUUUUGUCAAACUUUUGAACAAAGAGAAGAAGAAAAAACUAUAUCCAAACAAGGACAAAAGAGAUAGAGAAGAGGCCCCCAACAACCAACCUUUGGCGGUUGGUAAGAAAGAAAGGAUUGGAACCAAACCUCACGCCCUCCCAUCAUGGUGCGACGCCUCUCUUUUUCUCCAAUAUUCUCACGCACGCCUCCUCUAGUUUGGGCAUCCAAAAUCUGAUCACCAUCAGCUAUCCAAUGUCUCACAUGAUGCAUGGUUUAAAUAGGAUAAGAGAUUGGUUUUAAGUAGGAGUUUAGGUGAGAGUCCAAACUCCUUUGGACUUGAAACUUUUGAUGCUGCCCACCCAAUUUAUUUGCACCAAAUAUCUGAUGGGAGAAAAGAUGAUGGCGUGAACUUAUUACAUGCUAAAAAGGAGAGAAGGGCAUGGGGUGUUUGGCAUCCAAAAUAUGAGUUGGCGUGGGGCUGGUUUAAGAUGCAUGGAGGGAGAGUUUAAUCCACUUAGGACUUUUCUUUUAGGUGGUUGAUUUAAACCAAUUUAAACUCUAAUCAAUUCUAAUUAUAUUAUGAAUUGAUUAGACCCAAAUAGAUGGAAAUUCAAAUCUAAUUAGGAGCUCAAACUAUUUAGAUUAGAUGUCAUCUAAUUAG